UUUAGGCACUGACAAUCAAUUUAUUACCCACAAUGCAAAUUAUCUUCAAUUUAUCUAAGAUGAAUGAAAACUCCAUUUUCUCUCUCAUGAAAUGAAACUCUCAGCCAUUUUCAAGCUUGAAAAGCUCUGAAGAAACUUUUGUAACUAUAAAAUCCCUGCUGCCUUCAAGUAAUUUUAAGCUGAGUAUGAACAUGACAAGCUGCAAUGGUGGCAAAAGGGUGUCGCCAAGCGAAUUUCGUCGGCGGCUACUGUUUAAGACUACUAGAAUUGGAACCUAAAAACGGUUAGUUUCCCAAAAAAAAAACUUGCAUGUUGGACUCAAUGUUUUUUUUUUCUUUUUAUUGUUGUGAUGAUGAAGAAUGAUAAAAAUGUGUUGAAGAAGAUGCUGAAUGAGUUAUAUUGAACAAAAAAGAAAUUGGGUUUUUUUUUUCUAUUUUAGUUGAUUUCAAACUUAAAUGAAUUGAAAUCUUUGAUUUAUUAACUUGUUAUUUUAGAUUCAAAAGGUUGGUUUGGUGGUGUUGUGGUCUGGGGAUGAUAAUUGAUUUUUGUUUGUCUUGAAAUUGACAUGGCAGGUACCAUUACCCAUUGAUCCAGGCUUUUACU
rnacentral:lncRNA from 1 species